rnacentral:miRNA from 1 species
UGUUUAAACUGUAUGAGUGUUUGUGUGUAUGUGUAUAUACACACAUAUAUACAUACACACAUACACAUACACACA